AUUGAACGCUGGCGGCAGGCCUAACACAUGCAAGUCGAACGAGUGGCGGACGGGUGAGUAAUGUCUGGGAAACUGCCUGAUGGAGGGGGAUAACUACUGGAAACGGUAGCUAAUACCGCAUACCAUCGGAUGUGCCCAGGUGGGAUUAGCUAGUAGGUGGGGGAAAGGCUCACCUAGGCGACGAUCCCUAGCUGGUCUGAGAGGAUGACCAGCCACACUGGAACGUAGACACGGUCCAGAGUCCUACGGGAGGCAGAAGUGGGAAAUAUGGCACAAUGGGCGCAGGCCUGAUGCAGCCAUGCCGCGUGUAUGAAGAAGGCGUUCGGGUUGUAAAGUACUUUCAGCGGGGAGGCGUUACCCGCAGAAGAAGCACCGGCUAACUCCGUGCCAGCAGCCGCGGGAAUUC
rnacentral:rRNA from 1 species